rnacentral:rRNA from 1 species
GACGAACGCUGGCGGCGUGCUUAACACAUGCAAGUCGAACGGUGAAGGAGAGCUUGCUCUCCGGAUCAGUGGCGAACGGGUGAGUAACACGUGGGCAACCUGCCCCAGACUUCGGGAUAACGCUUCGAAAGAGGUGCUAAUACCGGAUACGAACUCCUUGGGCAUCCUUGGAGUUGGAAAGUUUUUCGGUCUGGGAUGGGCCCGCGGCCUAUCAGCUUGUUGGUGAGGUAACGGCUCACCAAGGCGACGACGGGUAGCCGGCCUGAGAGGGCGACCGGCCACACUGGGACUGAGACACGGCCCAGACUCCUACGGGAGGCAGCAGUGGGGAAUAUUGCGCAAUGGGCGAAAGCCUGACGCAGCAGCGCCGCGUGAGGGAUGACGGCCUUCGGGUUGUAAACCUCUUUCAGCAGGGAAGAAGCGAAAGUGACGGUACCCGCAGAAGAAGCACCGGCUAACUACGUGCCAGCCGCCGCCGUAAAAC